rnacentral:rRNA from 1 species
AAGUCGAGGGGUAACGGGGAAGCUUGCUUCCGCCGACGACCGGCGCACGGGUGCGUAACGCGUAUACAAUCUACCUUGUACUGGGGUAUAGCCUUUAGAAAUGAAGAUUAACCCCCCAUAGUCUCUUAGAGUGGCAUCACUUCUAGAGUAAAGGUUACGGUAUAAGAUGAGUAUGCGUUCUAUUAGUUUGUUGGUGUGGUAACGGCACACCAAGACUACGAUAGAUAGGGGCCCUGAGAGGGGGAUCCCCCACACUGGUACUGAGACACGGACCAGACUCCUACGGGAGGCAGCAGUGAGGAAUAUUGGACAAUGGAGGCAACUCUGAUCCAGCCAUGCCGCGUGCAGGGAGACUGCCCUAUGGGUUGUAAACUGCUUUUAUACAGGAAGAAACACCUCUACGUGUAGAGGCUUGACGGUACUGUAAGAAUAAGGAUCGGCUAACUCCGUGCCAGCAGCCGCGGUAAUACGGAGGAUCCAAGCGUUAUCCGGAAUCAUUGGGUUUAAAGGGUCCGUAGGUGGAUAAUUAAGUCAGAGGUGAAAUCUUGCAGCUCAACUGUAAAAUUGCCUUUGAAACUGGUUAUCUUGAGUUAUUAUGAAGUAGUUAGAAUAUGUAGUGG